CGGCCCUGCGAAGCAUCUCAUCCACGUUCAUCCAAGACAUGGCAGCGGCUCUCGGUGACUCGGCGUGUUAUGUGUGUGUAUGUGUGUGUGUGUGUGAAGACCUCAA